ensembl:snRNA U6 U6 spliceosomal RNA
GUCCUAGCUUUGGUAGUACAUAUACUGAAAUUGGCAUGAUACAGAUAAGAUUAGCAUGGCCCCUGCUCAAGGAUUACACACAAAUUCAUGAAGUGUACCAUAUUUUU